GCACAUGGUAAGAACUCAAGCCUUGGUUUCCUUCCUGCCCAGCCCUCCACUGCCAUCACAUAGCUACAGACACACACACACUGAGGACCUCCUGUUUCAUGUUAACUCAUCAAACAGUUACUGAACAGCUCUUAUUAACAAGGGCCUGGAUCUCCUGGGGACACUGUCCAACUAGUGUCUGGUACCAACAGCUCUACUUCUAAACCCCAUGAGGAAAAGGCCCAGGAGGGACGGGUGAGCUUGCUCAUGCGGGAACCCAGUCCGUGUGGAAUGGACGGCCUUGGUGACCUCAGUCCCCAAUUCCUGUGUCGCUCACCAGCACUGACUUUAUUAUCUUCUCGGGGGCUCUGAUCACCCAAGCUAUGCUGGCCUGGGCCUGGAAAAUUCCCUCAUCUCUCUUGUGGGGAGUUCAGCUGAGAUGAGGUUGGGAUUUUUGAAAGGGAACUAUUCCUAGGAAACUCAGGGCAAAACAGAAGAAAAAAAGAAAACCCACGAAUCGUAGCACCAGUUGGGCUUGCAGGCUCUGCCACGGAAGUCUGCAGUGCGGAGCUUCCUGGGAGCCCAGUCCUGGUCCCUUGCCUACCCCAGCGCACUGCCUUCUGCAGGCUCUGUUCUGCAGCUGUUCCCCACGUGCAGAGGGAAUGUGGGGGGUGACCAAUUCCAGCUAGCCACGAUUCUCACCUUCUUGUUGCCUCCUGCCCCGCCCAACCCUUGGGUACCAGAUGGGAGUUCCAGGAGUACGCCAUGAAGGGGAGGGACAGGUCGGGGAGUGAGUAGUGAUGAGGGGGAGAGAGUGUUGAAAAGUCUCUAUCAGGUUUUUCCCUAAUAGCGAGUGGUGUCUGGAUGAGAAGCGCACUGCUACUGGGGCUCCAAAGCUGGUUCAGCCCAGACUCCUUCGGGCCAGCUCACAGGGCACAGGGGCUGCAGAGAGAAGCCCGACUCUGUAAUGAAGUCUCAGCAGAGACAAAGCAUCAUGUGAGCUGCCUUAAGGAGCUACCUUAAGGAGUGAAGAAGACAGCAGUGAUUAAUUCCUGGCGAGACAAACACACAAAUGGGCUCAUAUUAUAACCUCUUAUACUUCUUCAUGAACAGCCCUCCUCUAGCUCUACCCUAGUCCCCUAGGAAUUCUCAGGCCUCAGGGAUCCUAGGACCAUGAACUGGGAUUUCCACACUGGGCUCCAUGGAGUCGCAGGGGGGCCAGCAGGGCCUCAGAAGACAAGGAAGGCGGUGUCAAUGAAGAGCACAUCGGGUGGGACGUCUACCUUCUUUUCUUCAAUCAAGGGGAAAAUAUCUACUUUUUAAUCUGUUUUAUUUAGAGGACUAAUGCAUGAGACCAAAUUGAAGCAUUGGCAGCUAAUGAGAAGUUCAAAGAAAACAGUGUCUUUGGGAAUAUUAAGUAAUGUAUUAACGAUGAAAAACAAUUGAAAUAGCCUGGAAUGUACACUUUUAAAAGAUUCUUGAAAGAA